GAAUAAAGUGCCACUUGUGUCACCAUAUGGAAUUCAUCAGCUACAUAUCUUCAUAUUUCUUUUAAUUUUCAGUACUCAUUGGAGUUUGCAUUAGUCACCCUGCAAAAGCUUUCAGCUCCUGCUAACGAGGAUGAUGUGAUGGAUACACACAAAAAGUUGAUGAAUGAGCUAGGAGGGAUUUCUCAAGAUGGAGAUAACUCAAAUGUUUCUUUUGUCAAUGCAACAGUCAAGGGUCUGCGCUUUGUUUUGGAGCAGCUUCAGAUAAAACCAUUCGAGGUUUUCUUGCUGGAGAAACUAUGUAUGGUUUGCUGAAGUAACCUUUGCAAGCAGCUGGAAGGCUUGUUCCAGAAACUACAUAAUGAUAUCAUUGCCAUGUGUUUCGCCAGCAUUGCAGAAAUGUCUUAAACAUGAGAGAUGGAGUACUUAUCAUGGGUACAUACAAAUCACCUGAAGUUGUGAGUGAAUAGAGAUCUCAGAUUGAAUCACCUGUUUACAGUAAAGAGAGAUCUGAAUUUGAUUUUGGAACUUUGUUUCUGUAAAAAUCAAACUUGAAGUUUAUGAGUGAAGAGAAAUCUCUGAUUGAAUCACCUGAAGUUUACAGUAAACAGAGAUCACGUAUAUUCUGGGUUUUUGUAUUGAGAACGAAAGUUGAAAUUGUGAAUUUGUCGAUUUGGAGAUUGGAGGGAAGACGUAGCUGGUAUUUCAGUUU